UACGUAGGGGGCAAGCGUUAUCCGGAUUUACUGGGUGUAAAGGGAGUGCAGGCGGCACGGCAAGCCUGAUGUGAAAGCCCGCGGCCCAACCGCGGGACUGCAUUGGGAACUACCGGGCUGGAGUGCCGGAGAGGUAGGCGGAAUUCCUAGUGUAGCGGUGAAAUGCGUAGAUAUUAGGAGGAACACCAGUGGCGAAGGCGGCCUACUGGACGGUGACUGACGCUGAGGCUCGAAAGCGUGGGGAGCAAACAGG
rnacentral:rRNA from 1 species